GUUCUUUUCCAGGGAGAAGAAGCUGCUCGUGAGCUCCGAGGACUAUGGCCGAGACCUCACGGGUGUGCAGAACCUGAGGAAGAAGCACAAACGCCUGGAGGCGGAACUGGCUGCCCACGAGCCCGCCAUCCAGGGCGUCCUGGACACAGGGAAGAAGCUGUCUGAUGACAACACCAUCGGGCAGGAGGAGAUCCAGCAGCGCCUGGCCCAGUUCGUGGAGCACUGGAAAGAGCUGAAGCAGCUGGCAGCAGCACGGGGUCAGCGGCUAGAGGAAUCCCUGGAAUAUCAGCAGUUUGUAGCCAAUGUGGAAGAGGAAGAAGCCUGGAUCAAUGAGAAAAUGACCCUGGUGGCCAGCGAGGAUUACGGAGACACGCUUGCUGCUAUCCAGGUCAGGAAAAGUGAGGACGAUGCCACAAACACAAUGCUUCUGCCCACAGUCCUGAUGCGUGGAAGCUGAAAUCCUGAUGUGCAGGCUGUGCAAGACCCCUUUCCUGAUUCUCGAACUUUCUGGUGGCAGUGCUCCAGU